rnacentral:rRNA from 1 species
AACGAACGCUGGCGGCAUGCCUAACACAUGCAAGUCGAACGAGACCUUCGGGUCUAGUGGCGCACGGGUGCGUAACACGUGGGAAUUUGCCUCGGGGUAUGGAAUAACUCAGGGAAACUUGAGCUAAUACCAUAUAAUGUCUUCGGACCAAAGAUUUAUCGCCCUGAGAUAAGCCCGCGUAGGAUUAGCUAGUUGGUGGGGUAAAGGCUCACCAAGGCGACGAUCCUUAGCUGGUCUGAGAGGAUGAUCAGCCACACUGGGAUUGAGACACGGCCCAGACUCCUACGGGAGGCAGCAGUGGGGAAUAUUGGACAAUGGGCGAAAGCCUGAUCCAGCAAUGCCGCGUGCAGGAAGAAGCAAUCUAUGGUGUGUAAACUGCUUUUGUACGGGAAGAAACACUCCU